GGGGCUGACGGUAUCGAACGAAUAAGCAUCGGCUAACUCCGUGCCAGCAGCCGCGGUAAUACGGAGGAUGCAAGCGUUAUCCGGAUUCAUUGGGUUUAAAGGGUACGCAGGCGGAAAACUAAGUCAGUGGUGAAAUCCUGCAGCUUAACUGUAGAACUGUCAUUGAUACUGGUUUUCUUGGAUUCAGUUGAGGCAGGCGGAAUGUGUAAUGUAGCGGUGAAAUGCUUAGAUAUUACACAGAACACCGAUUGCGAAGGCAGCUUACUAAACUGCGAUUGACGCUGAGGUACGAAAGCGUGGGUAGCAAACAGGAUUAGAUACCCUGGUAGUCCACGCCGUAAACUAUGAUCACUCGUUGUUGGCAACACAUCGUCAGCGACUGAGCGAAAGCAUUAAGUGAUCCACCUGGGGAGUACGGCCGCAAGGUUGAAACUCAAAGGAAUUGACGGGGGCCCGCACGAGCGGAGGAACAUGUGGUUUAAUUCGAUGAUACGCGAGGAACCUUACCUGGGCUUAAAUGUAGAGCGACGGACCGGGAAACUGGUCUUUCUUCGGACGAUCUACAAGGUGCUGCAUGGCUGUCGUCAGCUCGUGCCGUGAGGUGUCGGGUUAAGUCCCAUAACGAGCGCAACCCUUAUCAUUAGUUGCCAGCGGGUAAUGCCGGGGACUCUAAUGAAACUGCCGGUGUAAACCGAGAGGAAGGUGGGGAUGACGUCAAGUCAGCACGGCCCUUAUGUCCAGGGCUACACACGUGUUACAAUGGUCGGUACAAAGGGCAGCUACCAGGCGACUGGAUGCUAAUCUCGAAAGCCGAUCUCAGUUCGGAUCGGAGUCUGCAACUCGACUUCGUGAAGCUGGAUUCGCUAGUAAUCGCGCAUCAGCCAUGGCGCGGUGAAUACGUUCCCGGGCCUUGUACACACCGCCCGUCAAGCCAUGGAAGCCGGGGGUACCUGAAGUCCGUAACCGCAAGGAGCGGCACUAGGGUAAAACUGGUGACUGGGGCUAAGUCGUA
rnacentral:rRNA from 1 species